rnacentral:rRNA from 1 species
CAAAAACAUUUCUUUCUAAAUUUUAGGGAAGGUAGGUCCUGUUCAAUGAGUUUUAAAUAACCGCAGUAUUAUACUGUGCGAAGGUAGCAUAAUAAUUUUUUCUUUAAUUGAGAGGUAGAAUGAAUGGAUUAACAAGAUGUUUGGUGUGUCUGAGCCAGAUUAGAAUUUUAUGAAAGAGUAAAAAUGCUUUUUAGUACUAGUGGGACGACAAGACCCUGGAAACUUUUUAAUUAUUAUUGUUAAAAUAUUAUUUGUUUUAACUGGGGCGGUUAUUAAUAGAAACAUUUAAAUAUAAACGUUUGUACGGAUGGAUUAAUCAUAGAUUAAACAUAAGGUUAAAGUUACUUCAGGGAUAACAGCGUAAUUAGAUUUGAGAGUUCAUAUCGAAGAAUUGAUUGCGACCUCGAUGUUGAAUUAAGUAAACCCCUUGAAGCAGAAAGUUUGAUAGGUAAGUUUGUUCAACUUUUAAAUACUUACGUGAUCUGA